GACGAACGCUGGCGGCGUGCUUAACACAUGCAAGUCGAACGGUGAAGCGCCUUCCUUUUUGGUGGGUGUGGAUGAGUGGCGAACGGGUGAGUAACACGUGAGUAACCUGCCCCCUUCUUCUGUAUAACCGCAUGAAAGUGUGGCUAAUACGGGAUAUUCUGGGUCUGUCGCAUGAUGGGUCUGGGAAAGAUAUUGUUUCGGUGGGGGAUGGGCUCGCGGCCUAUCAGAUUGUUGGUGGGGUGAUGGCCUACCAAGGCGGUGACGGGUAGCCGGCCUGAGAGGGUGGACGGUCACACUGGGAAUGAGACACGGCACAGACUCCUACGGGAGGAAGCAGUGGGGAAUAUUGCACAAUGGGCGCAAGCCUGAUGCAGCGACGCAGCGUGAGGGAUGGAGGCCUUCGGGUUGUGAACCUCUUUCGCCAGUGAAGCAGGACUGCCUCGUUUGUGGGUGGGUUGACAGUAGCUGGAGAAGAAGCGCCGGCUAACUACGUG
rnacentral:rRNA from 1 species